rnacentral:rRNA from 1 species
UACGUAGGGGGCGAGCGUUAUCCGGAAUUACUGGGUGUAAAGGGAGCGUAGACGGCGAGGUAAGCCUGAAGUGGAAGCCCGCGGCCCAACCGCGGAACUGCUUUGGAAACUGUAUAGCUUGAGUACUGGAGAGGCAGGCGGAAUUCCUAGUGUAGCGGUGAAAUGCGUAGAUAUUAGGAAGAACACCAGUGGCGAAGGCGGCUUGCUGGACAGUAACUGACGUUGAGGCUCGAAAGCGUGGGGAGCAAACAGG